GCUCUGACAUCAGAGUGUUCCGGAAGCUGUCCAGUUCAAGCCACCUAUGUCACUAUCAUCUGGUCCACCAUCAUCUCCUCCUGGACUACUCCGAUGACCCUGCUUCUUGCUGUCCGUAUGGAGGAACCGAGAGAGCUUCUUCCCUAAAUCUUUCCGAUAACGGAUCACACUGAAAGAUGUCACCUCAAGUUACCACACUCAUACAUCACUCUGCUGUUCCCGGUGAAUCAGAUAAAAACGGAUAAGUUACCAGAGAAGGAAUGACAUGCUCUCAUUAAAAACAGACACACUGCAGACUUCUUUUGAAAAUUCCUCUAAGAAACAGAGGAUUGGAAAGAACUUUAAGAGAUCAUCUCUGUUAGCCUACACUAUCAGUGUUUGGUACUAGGAGGCUUCCCUGAAGAGUCUGAAAAUAAGAUUGUCCUCUGUGAGUCACACUGAAACAUCAACACUUCAUGGAAGGAUUGGAACAAAAUUACCACCAAGAGGCUAAAUGGCUCCAGGCCAGCCUGAUGGAAUACAUUACCUCAACUAAGCAAAAAGGAAAGAGAAGCAAGCUGAAAAGAAGGCCAAGGAGGACCGAGAGGAGUGAACAAGACCAACCGUGUGUUCAUCAACUGCAGUCCAGAGGAGAUGGCCCAGCGGUCCAGAGGCAGCCGAUUACCUUUAACUCCCACAUCAUCUAAUUUAUUCCUUGUGUACUGAUUCCAUGCUCACGAUCAGGCAUCUGAUUCUCAUUUGGCUCCCCACAAGGGAGUCCUACAGGGAGAGAUUUGGCUGGGUGUUGAACAGAAGCGUCCAGUCUCCUCGGUAUUCCAUUUUUUUUUCAUUACAAAUCCAUACCCUGGCAUCCAGGUUUAUAAUCUGACUCUCCAUGUUCCCUGCCUACUGAAAUGUCCCUGCCAGGCCAUCCUAUCCCUCCAGCAGUGACUUUUCUUAUUUUGAGUUAAUUUAAUGGUAUUUUGAUGGUAGAUCUCUAUCUCACAGACUCUGAUUAUAUUUGAGAUCAGACUGUGCUGAUAAAUCAAGUUCUACCGAAAGAAUCUGACUUUGAAUUGCAGGAAACUCAUUAAGGGGAUGUCAGAUAUCAGGAGAGACAGCAUUUAAGACUUCUCCACAUCAUGUAAUUUCAUCUUCCAGAAUCUGAUGCAAACCAAGCUCCCUUUUCCUUUCUGAAACUUGUAAACCUUAUGCACGGGCAAGCAUUUCAUCUCAACUACCCGGAGAAUCUGCUUCAGAGAAAAAUCUCUACUAAAUCCUAAGUGAAGCCUGAUGUCUGUUUUCAUACUUUCUCAUUAAAAAUGAAAAUUUCAA